GGUCUAACCCCAGGGUGACCAUCUGGAGACCCUCCACCCCACUCUGGGCACCCAGGCACCCUGCCUCAGCCCCAGGUCCCGGCAGAGGAAGUCAGGGGGCUUGGCGUGGACACGGCCCAGACAGGCCGCUUGGGGACUGGCUCGGGCCCGGCCUCCCCUGCCCUCGCUUCCUCUGCCGCUUCCUCUGCCGGGGGCGGGGAGGCUUCGGGCGGCCGUGAUGCCGGGGCCCGUUCCCAUGUGAGAGGCAGGCCGGGCCCCGUGGAUGCGCGGGUCCCGAGGCCGCCCGCACCUGGGUUCCCUCAUUUUCUUCCCAAGACUCCGCCAUGUGUACAGAGGGACCACCAAGGAAUCCCAAAAAGGAUCCAUGGCCUGGCCUGGUGGCUUUGUGAGGAUCCCCUGCCUGGGCCCAGCCUCUCUGUCCAGCCCUGACUGUGGAGCAACCAGAUGGCCAAGAACACGGGUCUUCCCUGCCCUCCAGGCUUGGUGGCCCCCAGCAGGGUCCUGCCCCCCCUCCGCCACAAGCAGCCCUCAAAAGGAACCACCUCUCUCCACAGAGAUGAAGAGAUGGAGGGGGAUGGAGAGACACCACGGAGCUACUGCGUGUGUACCACCCCCCCCCUAAAACAGCAUCUUUGUUCACGGAAGGCCAAGUUCCCCCAGGUGCCCAGCAUGAGGGCUUAGGGGUAGGCAUUGCUGUCCCAUUUUACAGAUGAGAAGAUAGGGUCAGAGAGACUCCAGCAGGUGGGAGCUGGGCUCUGAAUGCUGGGCAUUUGGCAGGAGGCCAGGGGACCCCAACUUUCCCCCUCCCCAACACCCACGUGGGGACCAGCAUGGAGCCCUGCACCCCAGCCCGUUACCCACCGCCACCAGCCAGGGCUGUUCCUCCCACAGGGGGACACAGCUCUGCCCUUCGCUGGACCUGCCAAGGGGACCUCCCCUUGCCCUCCUGACAACUUCUUCCCUGUAAGUCAUUAAACUGACACGUUAUAAUUACA